rnacentral:rRNA from 1 species
UACGUAGGUGGCAAGCGUUGUCCGGAUUUACUGGGCGUAAAGGGCGUGCAGGCGGUCUGUUAAGUGCAGGGUGAAAGCUCCCGGCUCAACUGGGAGAGGUCCUUGCAUACUGGCGGACUUGAGGGGGGUAGAGGAAAGUGGAAUUCCCGGUGUAGUGGUGAUAUGCGUAGAUAUCGGGAGGAACACCUGUGGCGAAGGCGGCUUUCUGGGCCCUACCUGACGCUGAGACGCGAAAGCGUGGGGGGCGAACCGG